rnacentral:rRNA from 1 species
GAUGAACGCUGGCGGCGUGCCUAAUACAUGCAAGUCGAGCGAACAGACGAGGAGCUUGCUCCUCUGACGUUAGCGGCGGACGGGUGAGUAACACGUGGAUAACCUACCUUUAAGACUGGGAUAACUUCGGGAAACCGGAGCUAAUACCGGAUAAUAUAUUGAACCGCAUGGUUCAAUAGUGAAAGACGGUUUUGCUGUCACUUAUAGAUGGAUCCGCGCCGCAUUAGCUAGUUGGUAAGGUAACGGCUUACCAAGGCAACGAUGCGUAGCCGACCUGAGAGGGUGAUCGGCCACACUGGAACUGAGACACGGUCCAGACUCCUACGGGAGGCAGCAGUAGGGAAUCUUCCGCAAUGGGCGAAAGCCUGACGGAGCAACGCCGCGUGAGUGAUGAAGGUCCUCGGAUCGUAAAACUCUGUUAUUAGGGAAGAACAAAUGUGUAAGUAACUAUGCACGUCUUGACGGUACCUAAUCAGAAAGCCACGGCUAACUACGUG